rnacentral:lncRNA from 1 species
UCUGUCUCCCUCUCUCGUUGACUUGUCAACACCUUCCAACACUACACCUUACUCUCAUGUGUGUUUUCUGAAAAAACACAAACAUCCUGUAAUCAUCUCCACUUUCAAACAUCACAACCACCAUUUCUCUACACCAUCGUCAAUAUCACACAAACCUCUAAACCAUCCCCCAACCAAACUCAACAGAAACUUAAAUCUAAAAACCAUAACUAACUACCUAAACA